AUGUUUCCUCAUCUCCCAUUCCAUUUUUCAUUUUCAUCCAGAUCAGCCCUCCUGAGCAUUGGAUGCUUGCAAAGGAGAUGAAGCAAGGCAAAAGAACUUCAGUGGUUUUGUGUGCUGCUUUCUCAUGCCUUGCUGAAGAGCAGGAGUGGCUGGAUAACACGUGAAGAAGCACUACUCUAGUUUACCACAGAUAACAGCUCCAUGAAAUUUAAUAAAUAGAUCCAACAGCUUGCACCAUAAGCUUGUGUAGACACAUGUGACUUCACGAAUAGAUGGCAACUAUGUGCCCUGAACUUCUGUGAGGGUAUUUCUGAGGUCAUCAGCGGUCCCAUGGGGGAAAUGAGUCACCAAAAGCGUCCUUUUUGUUAAUUACGCUGCCAUUUCCUUCUGGCAACGAGCUGCAGAUCUCAGCGACUGCUGCCAGAAGCACCGCGUUAUCCCGAGCAGCUCCGAGUCAGCCACGGCCGCGUCACAGAGCCAAGAACUGCUGCCAGCUGAGAGGGAUCCUCACCUCCCACCGCUGUAUCAGCCUCCCAUCUAUCUAACGUCCCUCAUUACGAAGCUCAUCGCUCAUUUCAGAACACAGAGCGCCGCAGCGUCAAGGCGCGCACAGCCCCGCCCCGCGCCGCCUGGAAGCCUCCGCUGCCUCAGGGCG